rnacentral:rRNA from 1 species
UGCGUAGGUGGCAUGGCAAGUUGGAUGUGAAAUGUUGAGGCUCAACCUCAAAGGUGCAUCCAAAACUGCUGAGCUAGAGUGCAGGAGAGGAAAGCGGAAUUCCGAGUGUAGCGGUGAAAUGCGUAGAGAUUCGGAAGAACACCAGUAGCGAAGGCGGCUUUCUGGACUGUAACUGACACUGAGGCACGAAAGCGUGGGAGCGAACA